rnacentral:rRNA from 1 species
UACGAGGGGGGCAAGUGUUGUUCGGAAUUACUGGGCGUAAAGGGAGCGUAGGCGGGCUCUUAAGUUGGAUGUUUAAAACCGGGGCCUAACCCCGGCGUGGCAUCCAAAACUGGGAGUCUUGAAUGGGACAGAGGCCAGUGGAAUUAGAGGUGUAGCGGUGGAAUGCGUAGAUAUCUCUAAGAACACCAGUUGCGAAGGCGGCUGGCUGGGUCCACAUUGACGCUGAGGCUCGAAAGCGUGGGGGAGCAAACAGG